AUGGCGGCCGCAGGUGAGGUGCUUGCCCUCUCGGUGAUGGCGGCCGCUUCAUUCUUCUUGGGCGUCGCGGCUGCUGCACAGACGGCGGUAGGGCAUGGCGGCGGUCACACAGGCUACGCGGCGCGCCAUGGCCAGGACCAGCAGCGGCCGGCAAGGAGCUCCGCCUGGACCCCAGCCCGUCGCCCGCCUGGGCCCACCUCGAGCCCGCGCAAGGAAGAGGAAAGAGAUAGAGGCCCCGCGGCAGUGAGCUCGCGGCGGCUGCAGGCGCGGCUCGCCGGCCGGACGAGAGGCGGCGUCGAGAGGAACGCUCCAGUGGCUGCUGUGUUCUGGAGCGGGGACCCGAUUGCUUUUUGGAAAAAGAUGCAGGGACUUGAUUGCUUUUUAAAAAAAAUCCAGGGACCUGAUUGCUUUUCAGAAAUACACUGA
rnacentral:rRNA from 1 species